GCAGUGACACAGUUGAGGCCUUGAUUCUUUUUCUGAAACAGCUUGAGCAGCAAAAUGGCAAAGUGGUUAAUAUGGGGCAGAAGGACAUUGAGAUUAUACACACCUUAUUGAAGAAUCUACAGGGUAGAACUUCAUCUCAGUCAGACUCAAAACAAAUUGUAUUUUUUGGCAGACUAACAGUCUGCCUGUCUGAUGUGUUCAGCCGCAACAAGAAAUGGGAAAGCUAAACCUGGAUUUCAUUUCAUUUUUGUUCUUGAAAACAAACCUCUCUCCAAAAAACGUUUGGC